rnacentral:lncRNA from 1 species
UUUUUCCCCCUUCUUUGUGGUUUUUUAUGGUGGGAGUGACCCAAUUUUCCAGGUGCCGUCUGCCACCACUUUCCUUGGCUAGGAAAGGGAAUUCCCUGACCCCUUGCACUUCCUGGGUGAGGCAAUGCCUCAUCCUGCUUCAGCUCACUCUCGGUGCGCUGCACCCAUUGUACCGCACCCACUCUCCAACACUCCCCAGUGAGAUGAACCCAGUACCUCAGUUGUAAAUGCAGAAAUCACCCAUCUUCUGCAUCGCUCACGCUGGGAGCUGUAGACUGGAGCUGUUCCUCUUCGGCCAUCUUGGCCCCACCCCCUCCAGAUCUCACUUUUAAGAAUGUAUGAAAUGGCUAAAAGAAACCUUUAGCCUCUGUCUUGUAUUUGGAGAAAACUAGCUCAUUCUUCUAAAAAAUAUUUGAAAUAUUUUAUGUAAGGAUUGAUUUAAUCAAAUCAAAUUUCCAGUGUACCUUGUUGCUGUCUAGGGUCCAGACCAAGAUGAAAAUGGGACUUGGCAUCAUUGAUACCUUCAUAUCAAACCAUUUUUUCUAUCUGCUUUCACUUUUUAUGACAUUUCCCGCUAUCUCCUUUCUGAGAUAUGCCUCCUUGCAAGUUUUGUAGGCCUUUGUCCAGCUUGGUCUUUCAGCUUGCAUCCCCACAACUACUUAUCAACAUGGAAGGCCCAACACUGGGCAUAAGACCUGAGGAAUAACCAAACUGGUUCUGAUCCAGGGUCUUCCAGACACGCACUCCAGCUCCCAAGACCGGAUUCUGCGCGGCCUUGGCUGUUCUCCUUGAAGUCAACCCAAAGUCUAGAGACCACUCCUUGGGGAUGUUCUGAAAGAGACAUAGUUAAGUGGAACGGCAGCAUGGCCCUUCACACAGAGGCUCUGGGAGCCCCUCACAGCUGAGCUGAAUACUGGUUUAUUCAUCUUUAUCACCACACCCUUCCCACUGCCCACAGUUGGGGUUUGUGUCACAGGGUUGAGAGAGUUGCUGCAAUUGAACCCUGAGUGGGGACCAAAUUAUUUCCACUUCUCAGGAAGCUUGGAGCCACCUCACUUCCAUGUUUUCUGCCACACACUCAGGGGAGCUUCAACUACGCAAGGUUUGGCAUUUAUCCCUGAGGGAAAACAUUCCCAUUUCUUUCCAGAGAAGCACCUGUUUAUCCCUACCUCAUCUUUCUCAUCUUUAAGUCAGAUUUUUGCACUUGCUUCUAAAUCUGAUAUAAAUUAUAAACAGCCAUGCCUUUUAUUCCUCUAUAUGCAUAUGCCGUGGAAAAUCUAGAUUGCUCAAGCCACCUUCUGCCAACAGAAAUAACGUUGCCUUUCAGCAGUGGUUUGCUUUUCUGAAACUUUCAGUCAUCCCACCCUUUAGAAGGAACAACUUUAGAGAAUAAGACUGGCCCAUAUGCAACUCCCAGAAUUUUCUCAGGAAUGUUUUAAAAAUC